AUCCUUUUGUAGUUCAUAAGCAUGAUGAUUGGGUUUUCAUGCACAUGCUGAGAUGUGCCUCCCUCAAUCCUUGUUACCACGUUGGCACAUUACCCAUCCAAUG